UCCUCAAGCAGGAAACGUAAAGCCCUUUC
rnacentral:piRNA from 1 species